rnacentral:sRNA from 1 species
GCUGGACAUGGUGGCGCAUGCCUGUAAUCCCAGCAACUCAGGGGGCUGAGGCAGGAGGAUUGUGAGUUCAAGGCCAGCCUCAGCAAUGUAGUGAGGCCCUAAGCAGCUUAGCAAGACCUGUCUUAA